rnacentral:miRNA from 1 species
CAGACAGACAGACAUGGCUCAAUCGACUCGGCUAUUGAUUAUGAUCAAGAAUAUAUAUACUUUAUGGGGUCGGAAACGUUUCCGGACCCAUAAAGAAUAUAUAUUCUUAAUCAGCAUCAAUAGCCGAGUCGAUUGAUCCAUGUCUGUCUUUCC